rnacentral:rRNA from 1 species
AGUCGAGGAUAGUCUACAAUGGUCGAAAGAUUGAUAGUGCGACGCCGCGUGAACGAUGAAGCAUUUCGGUGUGUAAAGUUCUUUUCUAUGCGAGCAGGAUGCUGGAAGUUAAUAGCUUCCGGUAUUUGAUAUUAGUAUAGGAAUAAGCCACGGCUAACUCCGUGCCAGCAGCCGCGGUAAUACGGGGGUGGCAAGCGUUGUCCGGAAUUACUAGGCGUAAAGGGCAGGUAGGCGGUAAUAUAAGUUAAUUGUUAAAGGCCCAUGCUCACCAUGGGUAAGGCAGUUGAUACUGUAUAACUGGAAGACGGUGGAGGAAGACGGAAUUCCUGGUGUAGCGGUGGAAUGCGCAGAUAUCAGGAGGAACACCGAAGGCGAAGGCAGUCUUCUACGCCGGUUUUGACGCUAAACUGCGAAGGUGCGGGUAUCAAACAGGAUUAGAUACCCUGGUAGUCCGCACAGUAAACGAUAAUCACUAGGUGUCGGUGGGAUAGACCUGUCGGUG